rnacentral:rRNA from 1 species
GAGAAUCCGGAUUCUCUAUGUGCUACUAUUUUGAGAGUCAAAUACUAUCCUGACGGUGACUUGUUGAACACUGACCUGAAGAAGGAUUCUUCCUUCACCUGGCAAAGUAUUAUGGCGGGUGUGAGCUCCCUGAAGCGUGGUCAUAUUUGGCGAGUGGGAAAUGGGCAGAAUAUUGACAUUUGGGAGGACGCCUGGAUUCCAAAUUGUGCAAACCGUAAAAUUGUUACCCCUAAGGGAGGCCAGUUGUUACGGAAGGUAGCAGAUUUGAUUGAUCCAAUCCUAAAUAGUUGGGAUGAAGAUCUCCUCAGACAGACUCUAUGGCCUAUUGAUGUUCAGCGGGUGCUUGCGAUCCCAAUAUCGCAACAUGAUAUGCCAGAUUUCGUAGCUUGGAAUUUCACAAAAAAUGGAAUUUUUUCGGUUCGGUCUGCUUAUUUUGUGGAAUGGGAACAAGUUACGACAUACCAAUAG